rnacentral:rRNA from 1 species
AGUGAACGCUGGCGGUAGGCCUAACACAUGCAAGUCGAACGGCAGCACAGUAAGAGCUUGCUCUUACGGGUGGCGAGUGGCGGACGGGUGAGGAAUACAUCGGAAUCUACUUUUUCGUGGGGGAUAACGUAGGGGAACUUACGCUAAUACCGCAUACGACCUACGGGUGAAAGCAGGGGAUCUUCGGACCUUGCGCGAUUGAAUGAGCCGAUGUCGGGUUAGCUAGUUGGCGGGGUAAAGGCCCACCAAGGCGACGAUCCGUAGCUGGUCUGGGAGGCUGAUCAGCCACACUGGACCGGAGAAACGGUCCAGACUCCUACGGGAGGCAGCAGUGGGUAAUAUUGGACAAUGGGGGCAGGCCUGUUCCAGCCAUGCCGCGUGGGUGAAGAAGGCCUUCGGGUUGUAAAGCCCUUUUGUUGGGAAAGAAAAGCAGCAGGUUAAUACCCCGCUGUUCGGACGGUACCCAAAGAUUAAGCACGGCUUAAUUUCUG